GACGUAGGGGACGAGCGUUGUCCGGAUUCAUUGGGCGUAAAGCGCGCGUAGGCGGUUUGUCGCGUCGACUGUGAAAUCCCGAGGCUCAACCUCGGGUCUGCAGUCGAUACGAGCAAACUAGAGUGUUGCAGGGGAGACUGGAAUUCCUGGUGUAGCGGUGAAAUGCGCAGAUAUCAGGAGGAACACCGGUGGCGAAGGCGGGUCUCUGGGCCGUAACUGACGCUGAGGAGCGAAAGCAUGGGGAGCGAACAGG
rnacentral:rRNA from 1 species